GGGGGCUUUUGACAUUGAACUUACAGAAAGGAUCCCUGGCUUUAUAGGAAACUCUUCAAAUAUGAAAAAAUUGUUUCUUGGAAAUAAUAAGUUAAAUGGUACCCUCCUUGCAGAGAAAAGUCCAAAACUUCUCAAUAUGUAAGUACUUUUGAUGUAUUUGUGUCGACCUCUUUACAGCAUUCCCAAAAUAGAAUGCUCAACUAAUUGUACCAAUUGGAAAGGUGUGGUUACAGGUCAAGUUUUUCCAGCAACCCUAGAUUGUAGCCAAAGUCACUCUAGUGAAAGGCUGAACUUGCAUUCUUAAUCUAGAUUUUCAAGUGCAUAGCUUCUCCUGGAUUAAAGUGAAUUACUUAGACUUGUGGGGUUCCUAGGAAAAAGAAAUUGGGAAGUUGAGGUUUUAGAUGGUUUCAAAAGCUUAUAAAAUAAAAAAAUAAAUAAAAACAGUGUGAUUUCAAUAAUGCUUGAAUUUUAUACUCCCAAGUAGCUGCAUUGUGUAGUUAACAUUCUCCUCACCUGAUGUUGGCAGAGACGUAUCUUACAAUAAUCUAUCCGGCAGCCUGCCUUCUUGGAUUCAACAACAAAAUUUACAACUAUAUGUCCUUAAUUUUUUUAAACAUACAACUUAUUUAACAUCUUUACCAUACAUUUCACAUUUUCUUAGACAAGUUUUUACUUUCCAGUAUAGUAUUUACACAAUGAUGCGAACAACAUUCAGAAUGUUAUUGGUGCAAUGUGCAGUAACUUAGUGGCCAACAACUUCAACCUAGAAAGUUCUAAUUCUAGCAGGUAAUUCUCUUGUUCUGUGUUUUGUUAAAAUGCUUGAGACUCUAUAACAAUAUAGGAAAUUAAUAAUAAUGGAUAAUUUAUGGAAAUGGGUUCUUUAGUUGCUAGUUCCCGCUAUCUAACAUGAUUUCUAUGUUCCUCCCCUUUACUUCAAUGUUCUCUUGUAUGGGAUGAACUGUCUCCAAUGCAAUUUUCCUUGCAAUCGAGUUCUGGAAUCUGUAAGUGCAACUUCUCCAUUUUGUGGUUUCGAGAGUUUAGGGCUAAAAUUUAGGUAGAGUAACAGCUAUUUUAACGCUCGUCCCAAAUUUAAAUAUUUAGUUAAAAACACUUCUAAUAGCCAUUCAUCAACCCAUAACAUACAUAACAAACACGUGAUCUCUGUCCACACCAAUAUUUAUUAAAUACAUCAAUUCAUACAACUUCAAAUUAAGGAUUAUAUAUUUUCAUAAUAUAUCUAUGCUCAUGGCUUUGAAUAUGGUCCAACUAAGUAGAUAUUAUCCUCUGGAUUUAAUCAUUUGGAUGUAGGCUUGCAUGCGUUUGCUUUCGGGCUUCACAUAACCCUCAAACACCCAAAAUGAAUCUACUUAGUUAGAAGGACCUAAGCCUUAUAAAUUGAAUCCUAAACUCAUUUGCUAGCAAUAUGGGAUUAACAAACUCUUUACCUUAUGGACCUCACAUCCUCGUGAGGUUGUCACACUGCAUUGUUGAGUUGCGAACCAACUUUGAUAUCAAUUGUCAAUCCAAAAUCCAGCCAAUUAAAUAUUGUCUAGCUCUAGUAAAUUCUUGUAUGACUAUAUUUUAACCCAACCCAGUUUUUCUACUAUUUCUCUUUUUCUUUCCUUCUCCUCAUUCUCUUCUUUUACUUAUUUUCUUCUCACCCGUAGCUAACUCUUUGUAAGAACGAGAGAAAGCUUAUCUGAUGAAAUAUGAAUGCCAUGAUUGUGGCUAAUCACUAAGAUUAUGUCAAUCACUUAAAAUCACUAAAUUAAUCAAUCAAUACCUUAAUAGUGUAAUUACAUUAUUGUGAUUGGCAAUCAUUGAAAACCACUCAACCAAUCAAUUCCUUAAUUGAGUGUAAUUACAUUAUUUUGUUUCCUUAUUGGAUAGUUAAACUUUUGUAUAAAUAGGGAAUGUAUUUACAAUUCAAAAUAAUUCAAUACAAUACAAUUUAAUUCGUCUAAAGAUAUCUCUUGGGCCUGCUCCGACUUUCUUCAAAUUGCCUAUUUUGCCCCAUGAAUUCUGACUUGGUAUCAGAGCAUAUGUCUUAGACAUACUCCGACUCUCUUCAAUUGUCUCUGUUGCCCUCUUAAUUCUAACAUGGUAUCAGAGUUUCUAGGUUGAAUUAGCUUUCGCUUAGCUAGCCUCUCUUUUUUGCCCCUACAAUUCAAAUAGAUACUCGGUUAGCACAAUAUUCAGCUAGCCUCUAUUUCCUUCCCUACAAUUCAAACGGAUACUUACUUAGAUUUUCCAAUGGCAAACAACCAAAGCUCAAACUCUGACAUAAUCACCAACAUUUGCAUCUUUUACACAAGCUUGUGGUUUAUGACCACAAGCUUGAUGGGGAUGAAAUAUGAAUGUCAUAAUUGUGGCUAAUUACUAAGAUUACACCAAUAACCCAAAAUCGCUCAAUCAAUCAAUUCCCUGAUUGAGUGUAAUUACAUUAUUUUUGUUUUUUUAUUGCAUAGCUAAACUUUUGUAUAAAUAGGUAAUAUAUUCAAAAUUCAAAAUAAUUUAAUAUAAUACAAUUGAAUUCAUCUAAAGAUAUCUCUCAGGCCUACUCCCGGCUUUCUUCAAAUUGUCUCUCUUUUCCUCUCAAUUUUGACAUUAUCUUCUUUUCUUUUCCUUUCUAUUUGGCUAAGAUAUAAGACAC